CCGGGACCGACAGCAAUAUGAAGGCCAGGCUGAAGACUUUGCCGGAUUAGCUGAGAGGUGGUGCAUGGCCGUCGUCAGUUCGUACUGUGAAGCAUCCUGUUAAGUCAGGCAACGAGCGAGACCCACGCCCACAGUUGCCAGCGUACUCUCUGGAGCGACGGGUACACUGUGGGACCGCCGCUGCUAAAGCGGAGGAAGGAAUGGGCAACGGUAGGUCAGUAUGCCCCGAAUAUCCCGGGCUACACGCGAGCUACAAUGGUUGGUACAAUGGGUAUCUACCCCGAAAGGGGACGGGAAUCUCCUAAAACCAAUCUUAGUUCGGAUUGAGGGCUGCAACUCGCCCUCAUGAAGCUGGAAUCCGUAGUAAUCGCGUUUCAACAGAACGCGGUGAAUACGUCCCUGCUCCUU
rnacentral:rRNA from 1 species